GAAAUGCGAUAAGUAGUGUGAAUUGCAGAAUUCAGUGAAUCAUCGAAUCUUUGAACGCACAUUGCGCCCCUUGGUAUUCCAUGGGGCAUGCCUGUUCGCGCGUCAUUUGUACCCUCAAGCUCUGCUUGGUGUUGGGUGUUUGUCCCCGUCUCCGCGCGUGGACUCGCCCCAAAGUGAUUGGCAGCCGGCGUACUGGUCCCGGAGCGCAGCACAUGUCGCGCAAACGAGUGCCUUGGUACGGCGGCGUCCAUAAGCCCCUCUCUCACGCUCUUGACCUCGGAUCAGGUAGGGAUACCCGCUGAACUUAAGC
rnacentral:misc_RNA from 1 species